CAAGUCUUGACAUCCCUCUGAAACCUCUAGAGAUAGAGGCGGCCUUCGGGACAGAGGUGACAGUGGUGCAUGGUUGUCGUCAGCUCGUGUCGUGAGAUGUUGGGUUAAGUCCCGCAACGAGCGCAACCCUUGAUUUUAGUUGCCAGCACUUUGGGUGGGCACUCUAGAAUGACUGCCGGUGACAAACCGGAGGAAGGCGGGGAUGACGUCAAAUCAUCAUGCCCCUUAUGACUUGGGCUACACACGUACUACAAUGGCUGGUACAACGGGAAGCGAAGCCGCGAGGUGGAGCCAAUCCUAUAAAAGCCAGUCUCAGUUCGGAUUGCAGGCUGCAACUCGCCUGCAUGAAGUCGGAAUUGCUAGUAAUCGCGGAUCAGCAUGCCGCGGUGAAUACGUUCCC
rnacentral:rRNA from 1 species